AACGGGUAUUGCCUCAGUACGGCGAGUGAAGCGGCAACAGCUCAAAUUUGAAAUCUGGCCCUAGGCCCGAGUUGUAAUUUGCAGAGGAUGCUUUUGGUGCGGUGCCUUCCAAGUUCCCUAGAACGGGACGCCAGAGAGGGUGAGAGCCCCGUACAGUUGGACACCAAGCCUUUGUAAAGCUCCUUCGACGAGUCGAGUAGUUUGGGAAUGCUGCUCAAAAUGGGAGGUAUAUUUCUUCUAAAGCUAAAUACCGGCCAGAGACCGAUAGCGCACAAGUAGAGUGAUCGAAAGAUGAAAAGCACUUUGAAAAGAGGGUUAAACAGCACGUGAAAUUGUUAAAAGGGAAGCGCUUGUGACCAGACUUGCGUCCGGUGAAUCACCCAGCUCUCGCGGCUGGGGCACUUCGCCGGCUCAGGCCAGCAUCAGCUCGCUGUCGGGGACAAAAGCUUCAGGAACGUAGCUCUCUUCGGGGAGUGUUAUAGCCUGUUGCAUAAUACCCUUCGGCGGGCUGAGGUACGCGCUCCGCAAGGAUGCUGGCAUAAUGGUCAUCAGCGACCCGUCUUAAAAAAAAGGGAACCAAA
rnacentral:rRNA from 1 species